rnacentral:rRNA from 1 species
CUACGGGAGGCUCCAGUGGGGAAUCUUGUGCAAUGGGCGAAAGCCUGACACAGCAACGCCGCGUGCGGGAAGAAGGCCUUCGGGUCGUAAACCGCUUUCAGCAGGAACGAAAAUGACGGUACCUGCAGAAGAAGGUGCGGCCAACUACGUGCCAGCAGCCGCGGUGACACGUAGGCACCAAGCGUUGUCCGGAUUUAUUGGGCGUAAAGGGCUCGUAGGCGGUUCAGCAAGUCGGGUGUGAAAACUCUGGGCUUAACCCAGAGCCUGCACCCGAAACUGCUGUGACUAGAGUUCGGUAGGGGAGCGGGGAAUUCCUGGUGUAGCGGUGAUAUGCGCAGAUAUCAGGAGGAACACCGGUGGCGAAGGCGCCGCUCUGGGCCGAAACUGACGCUGAGGAGCGAAAGCGUGGGUAGCAAACAGGAUUAGAUACCCGGGUAGUC